rnacentral:lncRNA from 1 species
UAGGCGUGGCUGAGUAAACAGCGAUCACAUUGCAGGCUUUUAGCUUUGCUCUUGGAGUUCUCUCUCCUCCCCCUGUAGCUCUGCUUUUCACUUCUUAUUUUUCUAAAGGAAAUAGCAUAGGGUCUUUUGGAAAUAGUCACAGGAAGUGGGACUCCGUGGCUGGCUGGUUACUCACCAGCCUCGGAGUCCAGACAGGUGGCAACUGCUGCUGCCUCCCUCCUGAUUUAUGUGAAAAUAGCCCCCAGAGAGGCAGAUGUGAGGCUGGGUGCACAGCCCAAAGGGCUUUUUGUCCACCAAGUGGCUUUCACGAGGAGACUGGUCAUGGCGUGUCAUCUGGGGGAGGGGGUGACUCAGAGAGCUGAGCUGGGGUCGCUGCACACACGUGCUAGCCACUCUGGGGUUUCUGCUCAGUUCUCAGAGAGCAGGCGGUCUCCUAAAAAUGAUCUCUCCCUCCCACCCCCAACAGCCGUCCUUCCUCAGUGAGUCACUUCCAGAAAUGAAUAGCCGCAGAUUUUGGAAUGAGCAUUGUGAAAUCCCUCGUUUAUAAUGGCAGGUUUUCAGUUGGUGGCUUGAUCAGACAUUUUCUCAAGAUGAAAAUGAGAGCUUGUCUUUAAAAAGAAAAAGAAAGA